rnacentral:rRNA from 1 species
AACGAACGCUGGCGGCAGGCUUAACACAUGCAAGUCGAACGAGAUCUUCGGAUCUAGUGGCGCACGGGUGAGUAACGCGUGGGAAUCUACCUUGGAGUCUGGGAUAACAGUUGGAAACGACUGCUAAUACCGGAUACGCCCUUAGGGGGAAAGGUUUACUGCUCCGAGAUGAGCCCGCGUCCAAUUAGGUAGUUGGUGAGGUAAAGGCUCACCAAGCCGACGAUUGGUAGCUGGUCUGAGAGGAUGACCAGCCACACUGGGACUGAGACACGGCCCAGACUCCUACGGGAGGCAGCAGUGGGGAAUAUUGGACAAUGGGGGCAACCCUGAUCCAGCCAUGCCGCGUGAGUGAUGAAGGCCUUAGGGUUGUAAAGCUCUUUCGCCGGUGACGAUGAUGACGGUAACCGGAGAAGAAGCCCCGGCUAACUUCGUG